rnacentral:pre_miRNA from 1 species
AAUGCAGUUGCUGGGUUAUAUGGUAACUGCAAAUUUUGUUUUGUAAGAAACUGUGAAACUGUUUUCCACAGUGGCUGUGCCAUCUUACAUUCCCACCAGCAAU